AGUGAACGCUGGCGGUAGGCCUAACACAUGCAAGUCGAACGGCAGCACAGUAAGAGCUUGCUCUUACGGGUGGCGAGUGGCGGACGGGUGAGGAAUACAUCGGAAUCUACUUUUUCGUGGGGGAUAACGUAGGGAAACUUACGCUAAUACCGCAUACGACCUACGGGUGAAAGCAGGGGAUCUUCGUACCUUGCGCGAUUGAAUGAGCCGAUGUCGGAUUAGCUAGUUGGCGGGGUAAAGGCCCACCAAGGCGACGAUCCGUAGCUGGUCUGAGAGGAUGAUCAGCCACACUGGAACUGAGACACGGUCCAGACUCCUACGGGAGGCAGCAGUGGGGAAUAUUGGACAAUGGGCGCAAGCCUGAUCCAGCCAUACCGCGUGGGUGAAGAAGGCCUUCGGGUUGUAAAGCCCUUUUGUUGGGAAAGAAAAGCAGCAGGUUAAUACCCCGCUGUUCUGACAGUACCCAAAGAAUAAGCACCGGCUAACUUCGUG
rnacentral:rRNA from 1 species